AUUGAACGCUGGCGGCAGGCCUAACACAUGCAAGUCGAGCGGGGUUUUCGGACCUAGCGGCGGACGGGUGAGUAAUGCGUAGGAAGCUACCCGGUAGAGGGGGAUACCAGUUGGAAACGACUGUUAAUACCGCAUAAUGUCUACGGACCAAAGUGUGGGACCUUCGGGCCACAUGCUAUCGGAUGCGCCUACGUGGGAUUAGCUAGUUGGUGAGGUAAUGGCUCACCAAGGCGACGAUCCCUAGCUGGUUUGAGAGGAUGAUCAGCCACACUGGAACUGAGACACGGUCCAGACUCCUACGGGAGGCAGCAGUGGGGAAUAUUGGACAAUGGGCGCAAGCCUGAUCCAGCCAUGCCGCGUGUGUGAAGAAGGCCUUCGGGUUGUAAAGCACUUUCAGUAGGGAGGAAGCGUUGCGUGUUAAUAGUACACAGCGUUGACGUUACCUACAGAAGAAGCACCGGCUAACUCUGUGCCAGCAGCCGCCGCCGUAA
rnacentral:rRNA from 1 species